rnacentral:rRNA from 1 species
GACGAACGCUGGCGGCGUGCCUAACACAUGCAAGUCGAGCGGAUCGGCGCACGGGUGAGUAACGCGUGAGUAUCUGCCCCUCUCUCUUGGCUCACAGUUGGAAACGGCUGCUAAUACCGGUACGUGGGGGUUGAUGCGCGUCCUAUCAGCUUGUUGGUGGGGUAGUGGACUACAAAGGCGACGACGCGUAGCCGGCCUGUGAGGGCGACCGGCCACAGUGGGCUGAGGUACGGGCCGAAGUGCGACGGGAGGCAGCAGUGGGGGAUAGUGCACAAAGGGGGAAACGCUGAUGCAGGAAUCCGGGUGCGGGAGGACGGCCUUCGGAGUGUAAACCGCUUUCAGCCAGGACGCGGUAGUGGAAGAAGAAGCACCGGCUAACUACGUGCCAGCAGCCGCGGUAAUAC